ACGACUGAUAAAAUAUUUUUUAAAUGACUAUAUCAGAUAUGGGUGUGGACUAGGUUGAGACCUUUUCAGCCCAUACCAGCUCACCCUCCCGCUGACUAUCUUACUGUGCCGAUGCCAUACGCGCGGAGAUGGUCGCGAGGCGUACGCCGACGUGCGGAGACGCACCACAGCCUUCUCCCGUUUAGGGAUCAGCUAGACAGCAUGACGGCGCAGACGGCUUUUAUAUGGACGCCGUAUGAUUAUAUUUUGGAUGAGGCUUCGGCGUUUUGUAGGGCGGUCGACACAUGUGGAUGUCGCGGUGUCCAUUGAUACAUAUGGAUAUCGUUGAGUAUCACGCGCCCGACCGCGUGUUACGGCAGUUUGGGUAUGUACAGAAUAUACCCGCGGCUAUGGAUUGGGAGCAUGACCACUAUGUGAGGGACGAGUGUGCAGGCGUCGAUGAUGCAUGGCGACUCCAUAUGCAGCAGCAGGUCCAGAGUUGGGAUGUGAGAAUGACGAGCCUAGUGGUGGUCGGACAUGACACUCCGAUCCAUGUGUACAUGGAGUGGUACAUGCGGAUCACUCGCAUCAUUAUUGGCAACCCCUCUAGGCGUCGUCCAGAUGGCCUAGGAUAUAUAACUCUCGCAGGAGCGUAUGAGGCGCUGGUACGGACCGUUCAGACGAUGCGCUAUAAGAGCACUACCCGUACGGAGGCCCCCGAGACAGCGGAGUAUGCAGCUCGGAUGAUUGAGCUUGC